rnacentral:rRNA from 1 species
AGCUCCAAUAGCAUAUAUUAAAGUUGUUGCAGUCACAAAUCUUGUAGUUGGAUUCCUGGCUGGACAUAUGGGUCUGCUCUUAUGAAUAUACACUAUAUAUACCUGGGCAUCCUUUGGGAGAGCCAUAGUGACAUUAAGUUGUUGGUAUGGGGAUCCUAAUCAUUGACUGUGAAUAAAUUAUAGUGUUCAAAGCAGGCUUACGCCAUUGAAUAUAUUAGCAUGGAAUAAUCACAUAGGACUAUUGUACUAUUUUGUUUGUGUGCACACAAUAGUAACGAUUAAUAUGGAUAGUUGGGGAUAUUUAUAUUCCAUUGCCAGAGGUGAAUUUCUUGGAUUUUUUGAAGACAAACUAUUGCAAUAGUAUUUACCAAAAAGGUUUUUCA